rnacentral:tRNA from 2 species
AGAGAGGUGGCCGAGUGGUCGAAGGCGCACGCCUGGAAAGUGUGUUCCCGACAAAAUCGGGACGAGGGUUCGAAUCCCUUCCUCUCUG